CUGCGGAAGGAUCAUUACAGUAGUCGCCCGGGUUGCCGCAAGGCCUCCCGGGUAACCUACCACCCUUUGUUUAUUACACUUUGUUGCUUUGGCAAGCCUGCCCUCGGGCUGCUGGCUCCGGCCGGCGAGCGCUUGCCAGAGGACCUAAACUCUGUUUGUCUAUACUGUCUGAGUACUAUAUAAUAGUUAAAACUUUCAACAACGGAUCUCUUGGUUCUGGCAUCGAUGAAGAACGCAGCGAAAUGCGAUAAGUAAUGUGAAUUGCAGAAUUCAGUGAAUCAUCGAAUCUUUGAACGCACAUUGCGCCCCCUGGUAUUCCGGGGGGCAUGCCUGUCCGAGCGUCAUUACAACCCUCAAGCUCAGCUUGGUGUUGGGCCCCGCCGCCCCGGCGGGCCCUAAAGUCAGUGGCGGUGCCGUCCGGCUCCGAGCGUAGUAAUUCUUCUCGCUCUGGAGGUCCGGUCGUGUGCUCGCCAGCAACCCCCAAUUUUUUUCAGGUUGACCUCGGAUCAGGUAGGGAUACCCGCUGAACUUAAGCAUAUCAAUAAGCCGGAAGAAAAUUACAGUAGUCGCCCGGGUUGCCGCAAGGCCUCCCGGGUAACCUACCACCCUUUGUUUAUUACACUUUUGUUGCUUUGGCAAGCCUGCCCUCGGGCUGCUGGCUCCGGCCGGCGAGCGCUUGCCAGAGGACCUAAACUCUGUUUGUCUAUACUGUCUGAGUACUAUAUAAUAGUUAAAACUUUCAACAACGGAUCUCUUGGUUCUGGCAUCGAUGAAGAACGCAGCGAAAUGCGAUAAGCUAAUGUGAAUUGCAGAAUUCAGUGAAUCAUCGAAUCUUUGAACGCACAUUGCGCCCCUGGGU
rnacentral:rRNA from 1 species